UACAGAGGGUGCAAGCGUUGUUCGGAAUUACUGGGCGUAAAGGGCGCGUAGGCGGCCUUCUAAGUCGGACGUGAAAGCCCCAGGCUUAACCUGGGAACUGCGUCCGAUACUGGGAGGCUUGGAUUCGGGAGAGGGAUGUGGAAUUCCAGGUGUAGCGGUGAAAUGCGUAGAUAUCUGGAGGAACACCGGUGGCGAAGGCGGCAUCCUGGACCGAGAUAGACGCUGAGGCGCGAAAGCUAGGGGAGCAAACAGG
rnacentral:rRNA from 1 species